rnacentral:snRNA from 1 species
CGAUGUGAGGGCCAUCUGCCUGUGACACCCGUCACCACACUGAUCUCCAGCCUUGAGUCAGCCCAUGUGCCUGCCCAAGCCCAUGUCCCCUUCCUCACCCAGCGCUCCAUGUACAUCCCUCCCAAAGCUGCUGGGGCACAGAGGACGACCUCCCCGAUACAGACAGUACAUUUUAUCACACAAGGCUAUUUGGGCGGCUGCACUCUCUGCUACAACCUCCCAACCUGCCCAAGGCACUAGGGCUGCAUUUCUAGGGCUUUCCCUGUACUCAUAAGUAAAAUUUUGCGCAAAAGAAGACUGAAAUAGGGUGUAAAAAUGGGAGGCAUGCAUGUGGUGCAUUGGGUG